CGAACGCUGGCGGCGUGCUUAACACAUGCACGUCGACCGGAAAGGCCCUGCUUGCAGGGUACUCGAGUGGCGAACGGGUGAGUAACACGUGGGUGAUCUGCCCUGCACUUCGGGAUAAGCCUGGGAAACUGGGUCUAAUACCGGAUAGGAGCCAUUUUUAGUGUGAUGGUUGGAAAGUUUUUUCGGUGUAGGAUGAGCUCGCGGCCUAUCAGCUUGUUGGUGGGGUAAUGGCCUACCAAGGCGGCGACGGGUAGCCGGCCUGAGAGGGUGGACGGCCACAUUGGGACUGAGAUACGGCCCAGACUCCUACGGGAGGCAGCAGUGGGGAAGAUUGCACAAUGGGCGCAAGCCUGAUGCAGCGACGCCGCGUGGGGGAGGACGGCCUUCGGGUUGGAAACUCCUUUCGCUAGGGACGAAGCUUUUUGUGACGGUACCUAGAUAAGAAGCACCGGCUAACUACGUG
rnacentral:rRNA from 1 species